GGAAGAAUAUGAAACCCCUAAAGAAGAAUCGGAAAACCGUGAAGAAGAAUCUGAAAACACUGAAGAAGAAUCUGAAACCACGCUUAUGGAGGUUUAUCAUGGCGGAAGUAUGUGCGCAGAUAAGGAGUUGACAUUGGAGCGUUAUUACCAAGAAUAUUUCCGGAGGAAGACAAUAGAACCUUACCCUUUACAUCAUUUAGAAGUCAGCAUUCUCUGGAUUCCUGCCAUUGAAGAAAUGUUGACCACUGGUGACUACAGA